rnacentral:rRNA from 1 species
AUUCCUACGGGAGGCAGCAGUGAGGAAUAUUGGUCAAUGGACGUAAGUCUGAACCAGCCAUCCCGCGUGCAGGAAGAAGGCGCUAUGCGUCGUAAACUGCUUUUCCAGGGGAAGAAAACCCGCUACGUGUAGCGGCUUGCCGGUACCCUGGGAAUAAGCAUCGGCUAACUCCGUGCCAGCAGCCGCGGUAAUACGGAGGAUGCGAGCGUUAUCCGGAUUUAUUGGGUUUAAAGGGUGCGUAGGCGGAUUAAUAAGUCAGUGGUGAAAACCUUCAGCUUAACUGGAGACUUGCCAUUGAUACUGUUAGUCUUGAGUACGGUCAAGGUAGGCGGAAUGUGUAAUGUAGCGGUGAAAUGCUUAGAUAUUACACAGAACACCGAUUGCGAAGGCAGCUUACUGGGCCAUUACUGACGCUGAGGCACGAAAGCGUGGGGAGCGAACAGGAUUAGAUACCCUGGUAGUCCACGCCGUAAACGAUGAUCACUCGCUGUUGGCGAUACACAGUCAGCGGCUAAGCAAAAGCAUUAAGUGAUCCACCUGGGGAGUACGGCCGCAAGGCUGAAACUCAAAGGAAUUGACGGGGGCCCGCACAAGCGGAGGAACAUGUGGUUUAAUUCGAUGAUACGCGAGGAACCUUACCUGGGCUUAAAUGUAGAGUGCAUGGGGUAGAAAUAUCCCUUUCCUUCGGGACUCUUUACAAGGUGCUGCAUGGUUGUCGUCAGCUCGUGCCGUGAGGUGUCGGGUUAAGUCCCAUAACGAGCGCAACCCUUAUCGUUAGUUGCCAGCGGGUAAUGCCGGGAACUCUAACGAAACUGCCGGUGUAAACCGUGAGGAAGGUGGGGAUGACGUCAAAUCAGCACGGCCCUUAUGUCCAGGGCUACACACGUGUUACAAUGGCCGGUACAGAGGGCAGCUACCUGGAGACAGGAUGCGAAUCUCCAAAGCCGGUCUCAGUUCGGAUCGGAGUCUGCAACUCGACUCCGUGAAGCUGGAUUCGCUAGUAAUCGCGCAUCAGCCAUGGCGCGGUGAAUACGUUCCCGGGCCUUGUACACACCGCCAUCCAUAUGAC